rnacentral:rRNA from 1 species
UGGUGGAGUGAUCUGUCAGGUCUAUUCCGGUAACGAGCGAGACCACGGCCUCUAGUUAUCAUGUCGUCGGGCCUUGCGCCUAGUCGUCUAACUAGAGGGACUAUUGGUGUUUAAACCAGAGGAAGCGUGGCAAUAACA